rnacentral:lncRNA from 1 species
UCUUUAUAUAAGUCCUUCUACCAAUAGUACUCCUUGAUCUUUGUGUAGGUAGUCCAAACUUCUCUAUGGCUAGUCCACAAUAUAUCAUGAAAUUGACCUAAUAUCUUACUAUUCAACACUCUCUAUUAAUAUCAAUAUUGAUGGGCCACAAUUUUCUAUAUAAUAGCUUAAUUUGCAUCAACAUCUAGUACAAAAAUAAAUUUUUUUCUUCUUAAAGAAAUACAAUCUUAAUUAUAGCAUAUGUAUUAAAAUUUGUGACAUCCACAACAUAUAGUACGGUAUCGUAAUACGUGAAGUCUUGCUUGAGAAUACUCCAGGCACUUAGAUGUGGAAAGAAGAAUAGAAAUUGAAAUAACAAAAUCCUAUUUCUAAUUGAAUACUAACAAUGCUCUAAUUAGACCAUAAUAAUGCUAAGCAAGCUUAAUCAAAUUCAAAAAACCUCAAAGAAAUUUCAAACAAACAAUAAGAAUUCUUAAAGAAAUAUUAGAAGGAUCACAAAUAUCACUCAAAUACAUCUCAAUUCAAUCUUAUUUAAUUCUAGUUAAAAUCCUAUUGAACUUCAUUCAAACUUUAGGCCAAAACUAAUUGAAUCUUAAAUCCUAAUAAAAUCCUAAAUUCUAAAUCAAAUCCUAAACAAACCUUAAAUCAAAUCCCAACCAAACCCUAAACCCUAACCAAAUCCUAAUCCGAAUCCUAAAUCCUAAACCAAAUCCUAAUCCAAAUCCUAAACCCUAAACCAAACCCUAACCAAACCCUAACCAAAUCCUAAAUCCUAAACCAAAUCCUAACCAAACCCUAGAAAUUCCUAUAAAAAAUUUAAACCUCAAUAACUAAUGAAUAAACCAUUGAUCUUAACUCAAAUUUUUCACACUUCUAAAACAAUAAGUUAAAAACAAGCACAAAAAAAUUGAAAAGGAUCGGAGUUACCAAAUUGACGAUAACCUCAAAAAUGUGCUCGGGUAUUGGCCAGCCUCCUUCUCCAAUCUUAAUGCCAAUCUUCCAGAGCCAAUAUCUCUUCUUUGCAUAGUUCGAUUGAUCUCAAAAUUUUCAUACACAUAGAAAAUCAAGUCAAAUAUCCUCUCAUGUAAGUUUCACUCCAAUUCAACCAAUAAAUUGCAUGAAAUCUUAAAAACCUCUACUAGACCUAAAAUUCUACUUUCUGAGACCUUGACCCUGUUAAACCUCAAUAUUCCUCAAUUCAACCGUUAGAUCGAGCUCAAAUUCACAAAAUAUAUUAAACACAACUAUAACCAUAAACCUAAAAAAUUUCAUCCAUAGAUCUUUUACAAAACUCUUAAAAUCACCCAAAUCGUAAAUCCUGUUUUAUUUCAUAAAACCCAAGUCAUCCAAAACAAACCUUGACUUUGCAAAGCUCUUACAAAGUCAUAUCAACUCCAAAUCACCCAAAAUUAAUGCCUAUAGAAACCUUAUUCAAUCUUCUCUCAAACCCCACUCUUUGUUC